GUGCUUGCUUUGGCAGCAUGUUUACUAAAAUUGGAAUGAUACAGAGAAAAUAAGCAUGGACCCGGCUCAAGGAUGACAUGUAAAUCUGUGAAGCAUUCCGUAUUUUU
rnacentral:snRNA from 1 species